CUUAACAUAUAUAAAAUCAAUUAUUCUUGGGAGGAUGGCGCUUGGGAGAAUGAUAAUCUGAAACAAAAGGAACAUAACCAACAAAAACACCAUCUUUCUUCCCUUCACAAACCACAUUCAACACCCCAUUCUCUUCAUAUUGCCCACAAUUUACAACAACAGAAGCAGACUCCCUAACAGUAGUAGUAGUAGCAGCAGUAGCAGAAGAAGAAGAAUCUGCAGCAGAUGCAUGAAAAUUAAAACAAGCUUGAGAAGUAGCUUAAAGUAGCUUGAGAAUAAGCUAGAAUGUACCUUGAUGAGCAACUACAAUGGAUUCCUUGAGAAUAAGGAAAGAAAGUGCAGGUGGUGGUGUUAGUAGUAGUAGUGAUAGAACAAGCAAGAGGAGGGGGAAGACUGUGAAGCUUUUUGUUGUCAACAUGGUCAUAUGGAGUAGGUAGUAAGGU
rnacentral:lncRNA from 1 species